AUGAGUGAGGAAAAGAUUAGUGCAUUUGUAAAUUUCAAUUUUACCUUUAUUGACUUGAGCGAUGUAAACACUGCGACAGAUGACCAAAAUGACGUCACCCUACCCACAAUUACGAAUGGCUGUUGUCCGAACAUGCAGUCAGGGGUUCGAACUCCUCUUCUUGUUGCAACUGCGAUAUUAGAGAAAGUCUUUGCCUAUUUGAUUGAGAAAGCACAGUUUGGCAGAGAUUAUUAUGCCCUUCCAGAGGCAACCCUGUAUUUUAUCCAGGCUGGUGAGAAACACACUUGGGCCCCCUUGUGGCAGCAUAGGUUAGCAGUAGCAGGUAGAUGAAUAUUAGCAUAGUUUACUUUUGCAUUAGCCUGUGUAUAUACUCUCAAGUUUACCAUGUAACUAAGCUGGCAUUGUAGGACAACCAAGAUGCAAACAUGGAUAUUUCAUACAGAAAUCCAGAAAACCAAACUGUUUGGUCACAUGAAUAUAAUUCCACCAUCAAGGGGCACAUUUACACAGAUGUGUCUUUGUGAAACAUCUGUGUUCAGAUGGUCAGUGAGGCAAAUAUGAUUAAAAGAUAUCACUACACUUAAACACUACACUAUAUCUCUCUUUCUACCAUUUUAACACAACAGAGAGUUUUUCAAACUAUCCACAUUUAAAUAUUCACCCCGUACUCUAAUAUUGCAGUUCCAACAAGAAGAACACUUUUUGUAUUAAUUAGUCUUCUUCCGUUUUUGUCCCUUUCGGGAUCACGGGGCUGCUGGAGCCUAUCCCGGCCACUUAUGGGCAAAGGCAGGGGACACCCUGGACAGGUCUCCCCUCUGCCGCAAGGCCACAUAUCAAACACCCAUACACACUCACAUUCACGUUUACACCAAUGGACAAUUUAGAGUAAGCAAUUAAUCUAUGAGGCAUGUUUUUGGACGGUGGGAGGAUGCCGGAGAAAACCCCUGCAUGCACUGGGAGAGCAUGCAAACUCCACACUUUUUGUUGUCAUGAUAAAAUUCCGUAUACAGAAGAUAAUGAACUCCAGUGGAUUUAGAGCUGGUUUAACAAAGACUGCCUUCAUGAGAGUUUAUUAAAGUAUUUCACUGUGAAUUUUAACUAUUUCUAAUUAUCCUUUCUGUAAGAAGUUCACAAACCAAGAUUUUACCUGGAACUUUAAGAAAGACUUAGAAAAAAACAUCUAAAGCAGUCAGGAGAUUGUUGUGACUGAAGUAAAACAUUAACAACACGAUCACUCUGAACGAAUUGAUGUUUUUCAUCAUGUAGUUGUUUUUCUGACAGUCUCAGACAGUUAGUUGGGGGGUUUUCGUUCGUCAUUCUACAGUCAUCAUGGCUGAAGAUUGGAUGAAGAUUGCUACCAAAAGUCUAAGACCAGCUUAAAUGAAGGGGAACCUCAGGAUGAGUGUAAGAAUGAGACAUUCAUUAGUCAUGCGAUGAAAAAAACGGAUUCUGUAAUUUCCUUUUUUGCUUGGAGGAAGCUCAAUGAGCAACAGCCUGCUUCCUGUCAUUUCCUGAAUAAAACUGGUUUGCUGAGAAAAGCCAACAAGAAAUUGUUUUUCAUUUAAAGAUGAAUAAAGAGGGAUGGAAUAAUUUAUCUUCUAUUAAUAAAUAUAAAACAUAUUUCUGUUGUGAUGCAGUUUGCUGUUUGACAUAACCUCUGUGCCUUCUACUCAGAAGUUCAAACUGCUAUGAGUUCCACAUCUGGGUCUGUGAGUUUUCCCCCACAGUCACUGGCUUUCAUUCCUUCACAAUAGGAGCAAACCCUGCAGGACGCCCCCACCUGAGAGGUUUGUGCAAUUUCAAGCAGAGGAAUCCAGCAGAAAAGCACUCAAACCUGUGUGAAGCAGCAGAAGUCAGAGCAUAACUUGCAGAUGAGAGAAUGAAACUGAAAUAGAAAACGCCAAAGCCUAAUAUAAUUAACAGGUGUAUUUGUUUGUGCAAAAGUUAGUUUCACAUGUAUUUAAGCUUGAAUAAUUAUUGUUCUCUAAACUCUGUGUUACCCAAUAACAUCGACGCUGUUGAAAUAAAGAAAAAAAACCUGUUCUUGUUGUUAUUAACAAGCUUAGUCUACGACAAAAUAAUCAUGAGUGUGAAACUUGCAGUAGAGUGUGGUGUGCAGCAUGUGGAAUGCAAACAAUGCAGGUGACCGAGAGUGAUGGUGAUAUCACCUGCAGAAAAGAGAGAAAAAUCUUCAAAAUUGCAUGUUUGUUAACAUAUUUUUUCUAAAUAGU
ensembl:lncRNA